GAGGGUUGAUAGGUUAAGAGCUAGUUAACUGGACGUUACCCACAGAAGAAGCACCGGCUAACUCUGUGCCAGCAGCCGCGGUAAUACAGAGGGUGCAAGCGUUAAUCGGAAUUACUGGGCGUAAAGGGUGCGUAGGUGGUUGUAUAAGUUAUCUGUGAAAUCCCCGGGCUCAACCUGGGCAGGUCAGAUAAGACUGUAUGACUCGAGUAUAGGAGAGGGUAGUGGAAUUUCCGGUGUAGCGGUGAAAUGCGUAGAGAUCGGAAGGAACACCAGUGGCGAAGGCGGCUACCUGGCCAAAUACUGACACUGAGGCACGAAAGCGUGGGGAGCAAACAGGAUUAGAUACCCUGGUAGUCCACGCCGUAAACGAUGUCAACUAGCUGUUGGUCAUAUUAAUGUGAUUAGUAGCGCAGCAAACGCGAUAAGUUGACCAGCAAACGCGAUAAGUUGACCAGCAAACGCGAUAAGUUGACCAGCAAACGCGAUAAGUUGACCA
rnacentral:rRNA from 1 species